AGAGUUUGAUCCUGGCUCAGGACGAACGCUGGCGGCGUGCCUAAUACAUGCAAGUCGAGCGAGCUUGCCUAGAUGAUUUUAGUGCUUGCACUAAAUGAAACUAGAUACAAGCGAGCGGCGGACGGGUGAGUAACACGUGGGUAACCUGCCCAAGAGACUGGGAUAACACCUGGAAACAGAUGCUAAUACCGGAUAACAACAUCUAGCGCAUGCUAGAAGUUUGAAAGAUGGGUUUCUAUCACUCUUGGAUGGACCUGCGGUGCAUUAGCUAGUUGGUAAGGUAACGGCUUACCAAGGCAAUGAUGCAUAGCCGAGUUGAGAGACUGAUCGGCCACAUUGGGACUGAGACACGGCCCAAACUCCUACGGGAGGCAGCAGUAGGGAAUCUUCCACAAUGGACGCAAGUCUGAUGGAGCAACGCCGCGUGAGUGAAGAAGGGUUUCGGCUCGUAAAGCUCUGUUGGUGGUGAAGAAAGAUAGAGGUAGUAACUGGCCUUUAUUUGACGGUAAUCACCUAGAAAGUCACGGCUAACUACGUGCCAGCAGCCGCGGUAAUGCGUAGGUGGCAAGCGUUGUCCGGAUUUAUUGGGCGUAAAGCGAGUGCAGGCGGUUCAAUAAGUCUGAUGUGAAAGCCUUCGGCUCAACCGGAGAAUUGCAUCAGAAACUGUUGAACUUGAGUGCAGAAGAGGAGAGUGGAACUCCAUGUGUAGCGGUGGAAUGCGUAGAUAUAUGGAAGAACACCAGUGGCGAA
rnacentral:rRNA from 1 species